rnacentral:rRNA from 1 species
GGGGCCCCCCCAGGAGGGGAGCCGGCGGCUUAAUUUGACUCACCACGGAAAACCUCACCCGGCCCGAACACCGAAGGGAUGGACAGAUUGAAAGUUCUUUCUGAAUCCGGGGGGGGGGGGGGCAUGGCCGUUCUUAGUUGGGGGAGCGAUUUGCCGGGUUAAUUCCAAUAACAAACAAAACUCUGGCCUAUUAAAUAAACCAGGUAUCUUACUGUCCUGCGCGCUUCUUAGAGGGACAAGCGGCUUUCAGCCGCAUGAAAUUGAGCAAUAACAGGUCUGUGAUGCCCUUAGAUGUCCGGGGCUGCACGCGCGCUACACUGAAAGAAUCAGCGUGCGAUGCACAUGGUCCGGAGGGAUUGGUUAACCCCUCAAAAUUCUUUCGGGCUGGGAACGGGGAAUUGCAUUAUUUUCCCUGAACGAGGAUUCCCAGUAAAUGUGGGUCAUAAGCUCGCGUUGAUUACGUCCCUGCCCUUUGUACACACCGCCCGUCGCUACUACCGACUGAAUGACUUCGAGAGA